GAUGAGCAUGCGUCCCAUUAGCUAGUUGGUAAGGUAACGGCUUACCAAGGCGACGAUGGGUAGGGGUCCUGAGAGGGAGAUCCCCCACACUGGUACUGGGACACGGACCAGACUCCUACGGGAGGCAGCAGUGAGGAAUAUUGGACAAUGGGCGCAAGCCUGAUCCAGCCAUGCCGCGUGCAGGAAGACGGUCCUAUGGAUUGUAAACUGCUUUUGUACAGGAAGAAACACUCCCUCGUGAGGGAGCUUGACGGUACUGUAAGAAUAAGGAUCGGCUAACUCCGUGCCAGCAGCCGCGGUAAUACGGAGGAUCCAAGCGUUAUCCGGAAUCAUUGGGUUUAAAGGGUCCGUAGGCGGUUUGGUAAGUCAGUGGUGAAAGCCCAUCGCUCAACGGUGGAACGGCCAUUGAUACUGCCAGACUUGAAUUAUUAGGAAGUAACUAGAAUAUGUAGUGUAGCGGUGAAAUGCUUAGAGAUUACAUGGAAUACCAAUUGCGAAGGCAGGUUACUACUAAUGGAUUGACGCUGAUGGACG
rnacentral:rRNA from 1 species